rnacentral:rRNA from 1 species
UACAGAGGUCCCAAGCGUUGUUCGGAUUCACUGGGCGUAAAGGGUGCGUAGGUGGUCGGGUAAGUCUGAGGUGAAAUCUCCGAGCUCAACUCGGAAACUGCCUUGGAUACUAUCCGGCUUGAGGGUUGGAGGGGGGACUGGAAUUCUCGGUGUAGCAGUGAAAUGCGUAGAUAUCAGGAGGAACACCGGUGGCGAAGGCGGCUAUCUGGACAGAGUCUGACGCUGAGGCGCGAAAGCUAGGGGAGCAAACAGG